rnacentral:rRNA from 1 species
AUGGCCAAGUAUUGGUGGGCAAGCUCUUUGGACAAGCGAUCCCUACACUGGGUUUCCUGGAAGAAUCUUGCAACGCCCAAAGCAAAGGGCGGGAUGGGCUUCAAAGAUAUGCACCUCUUUAAUCUAGCCAUGUUAGGGAAGCAAGGGUGGCGUUUGAUCACUCAUCUGGAUUCCCUAUGCUCCAGAGUUCUGAAGGGGAAGUACUUCCCGCUUACAGAUUUCCAAACUGCUACUGCCCCAGUUCGGUCUUCAACCACAUGGAAAGCUAUCGUAGCAGGGCGG